GACCGCGUAGCUCAGUUGGCAGAGCAUUGGGCUAGUAUUCCGAAGGUCGUAGGUUCGAUUCCCACCGUGGCCA
rnacentral:tRNA from 1 species